GGGUGAGUAGCAUCCACACCAAAGGCCCCGUUGCCACGCCUGUGGCCUCGACUGGUUGCGUUCUUAACGUCUGUGUGGGGCAGGAUGGUCCGGUUUGGUUGUGUUCUUAAAGGGGACAUAUUAUGAAAACACUUUGUUGCUCUGGGGGGGCAACAUUUUUUAGGCCAGAAAUGUAAAGCCUAUGACUAUCGACCUAUGACUCAUAGGUCGAUUUUAUCGAGGGGUUCUCCCCGAUGAUAUAUAUAUAUAUUGUAGCGACCCUGGGACAGUUAAAUAGUUUGUGUGUUAUGUGUUACAUUAUAUUUCGUUGUCCGUUAUGCCAGUUGUUCUAUGUGCAUGUAUUGUAAUGUUAUUCUUGUCAAUCAGCGUGGGGGGCGAAUCAUUAGGUCAGCUGGGGGAGGGCCUUGGAAGAACAGGAGGGUGGGGGCCUGCACGCGAGUGAGACCGUGUUGCCGGGGUAACCGGGGUUUGUUUGGGUCCGGUUUUUCAGCUGUUGGUCAAUGUUGUUACAAUGUUACGGGUUUCUGUGACCUGGUUUUUGGUCCAUUAAAACUACCUUCAACUAAUGACUCGACAUGAUUAUGUCACCGGCGAGGUCGUUACAUUGGUGUCAGAAGUGAAACUAUUAUCAUUAUUUUAUUUAUUUAUUUAUUUUUUUCGGUCCUGCUGUGCUCGGCGAGUCAGCCGAAGUUGCUAUCGCCGUUAGCCCUGUUUUUGUUGUCUUUUUUUUUUCUGUACAACAAUAAUGCUCCCUGCGGACUGUCGGGUGAAGAUAGAGAUGGACGACUACGGCGAGGGGGCGUGUGGAGUAGCUUCGGAGUCUCUGGUGAGGGGUAGAGCCCAACGGGAACCAGCCGCCGUUGGAAAAGAUGAUUUUCACGGCGACAGACAUGGCGGCGCCUUCCUCACAUCAAGCCCGGUGUCCAUCAAGACGCCUAGAUACACCGGCGGACCGCCGCCCCCCGCCUCGUCGAGAGCAGAGGGUCUGCUGGGGCUGCGGGCAGCCUGGCCACCUUGUCAGAGAGUGCCCUACAACGGUGAGAGCCUAGGGAAACGGGUCAGGGUCCGCGUAAUUGGGGAGACGCGAGGCCCUGCCCCCUUACCCCCGCCGUCGUCGUCUGGAGGAGCCCAUCAUCACAGCCGGGGGGGCGGGGCUCCACCCCCCCCAGAAGCAGACGACAACAUCCUGGAG
ensembl:lncRNA